rnacentral:rRNA from 1 species
AUGCUUAUCAGACCGCUUGCGUGCGAAGCCGAGGCGGUGGUGGGUCUGUUCAGAGCCUUCAGUGCUGCCACUGGUCUCCAUUGUAAUCUGGCAAAGAGCUCUGCAACCAUGAUUCGCGGCGAGGAUGCCAACCUUCAGGAGGUGCUGCACAUUCUGGAGUGCCCGGCUGUACAAUUUCCAAUUAGAUACAUGGGGCUGCCACUGUCCCCUAAGAGACUGACCAAGAUGGACCUCCAGCCGUUCGUGGACAGAGCAGCGGGGCAUCUACCAACGUGGAAAGCCUCCAUGCUGAGGCGUGCGGGGCGGCUUGUGUUGAUCAACUUGACGCUUACAGCCACGGCAAUAUACCCAAUGCUGGUGCUUGAUCUGCCACAAUGGUUCCUGGCAUGUAUCGAUAAGCUCUGUAGGGGCUUUUUCUGGCGCGGGCAUGAAGAAGCCAAGGGUGGCAGCUGCUUGGUGAGCUGGAAACUUGUAUGCACGCCCAAAGAAUUCGGUGGCCUAGGUGUGAAAAACCUGAAGGUAAUGAAUAAUGCUCUAAUGCUCAAGUGGUCAUGGGCUCAUGGCUAG